UACGAAGGGGGCGAGCGUUGUUCGGAAUUACUGGGCGUAAAGGGCGCGUAGGCGGCGCCGGAAGUCAGAUGUGAAAGCCCCGGGCUUAACCUGGGAACUGCAUUUAAAACUGAUUGUCUAGAGUUAAUUAGAGGGGGGUGGAAUUCCACAUGUAGCAGUGAAAUGCGUAGAUAUGUGGAGGAACACCGAAGGCGAAGGCAGCCCCCUGGGAUAUAACUGACGCUCAGGCACGAAAGCGUGGGUAGCAAACAGG
rnacentral:rRNA from 1 species